GACGAACCGUGCUAACGUUAUUCGGAAUCACUGGGCUUAAAGGGCGCGUAGGCGGUUCGUUAAGUCCUGUGUGAAAUCCCCCGGCUCAACUGGGGAACUGCACAGGAAACUAGCGGGCUUGAGUUCGGGAGAGGGAAGCGGAAUUCCGGGUGUAGCGGUGAAAUGCGUAGAUAUCCGGAGGAACACCGGUGGCGAAGGCGGCUUCCUGGACCGACACUGACGCUGAGGCGCGAAAGCUAGGGGAGCAAACGGG
rnacentral:rRNA from 1 species